CCUCCCUUGCAGCUAGGGUAUGGAUAUGCGACCCAAUCCUGGCCAAGGAAACAUAAGAAGUCAAUUUGGGACCCUUGGAAAAGACAUUCCUACUUGAUUAAAAGAGAAAGGCCUUAAGAAAAUUCACUUUUCUUUCCUGUCUUUGGAGAUGAUUACAUGAGGCUAUGAUGCUGCAGUAAUUGGAUAAGAGGUGUGUGCUGAAAGCCUUGAUUUGUUCUACUGAAUCAGUGCUGGAAAACCCUAUCUGAUGAACUCUUUGUUAUAUGAGCAAAAUAAAUGUUCACUUUUAA
rnacentral:lncRNA from 10 species